AAAUGCCCAUCCCACCAGGCUGCUGGUCUGAGCUCCCUGCCGAUAAUGCUUUGUCCUCUUCCUGGAGAUGCGGUCUCCUGGUCCAGAGUAAUUGUCAGUCUCUGGCACACUCUUGCACUAUUAAGCACGUUGGCACUGCCUGAAGGACUGCAACCACAGUGACACUUUGACUCCGUCAGAAGCCACCGCUACCCAGGGUGCAACUUAGUGUCAUGGAUGAAUCUUCAAGGCAUGGUCUGCAGAGCACAGCAUCUAGUCAGGCAAGUCUCCACUAAGUCUUCCUGCUAAGUCUUCCUCUCGAAAGACCGUUAGGAUGCUCGAGAUGGUCGGGGAAGAAACGGAACCAGCAUGCCAAUUGCUCCCUUGAGCCAAUUAUCAUGUAAGGGACCUGGAAAAGGAUGCUCGACACACACUGAGACCUGUCCUCACUUAAACCACCACGAACCCGAAAAAGUGUUUCUGCACAAGGCUAGACUGGUCUGGAAUCCAGGUGAAUUUCGCUGCCCUUCUGGGUCCCUUGAGACAUGGAAGAAACAAGGUGCAAUGAAGAAUUCACCUAAGAGGCAGGAGAAUUUCAUUUAAACACAGCUGUAGGAACAGCAAACGAGAGAAACAAAAUGAUUGUAAGAGCAAGUCUUCCGUGUAUAGCACCCUCUUCACCCACAGAUACAGGCAACCACUCUGAAAAUCCUUCGACGACCCUCCAAAAGGAUUCGCGACCCACGGUUUGAGUGUUCUAAAGGCUAAUACAGUGUGUUACAGAUUCUUUACCACCUGUCUGAUACAGGAGUGCUUCCUGCAUUCCUGAGCCGUUAGAAUCUGUCAAAGGUCCUCCCUUGAGAACUCCAUGUGCACUAUAACCAAACCGAAUUCCCCGCCUCUCAGGGAAAAGUGACCUCAUCCUUGGGUCUCCUCAAGUGGCUGUGUGAACUACAAAAGCCUCGUCUGUUUAUCCUGACCAGUAAUCCACAGACUCUGGCAAGAGGAUCACAAACGCCAAAUCCAGCCUGGACUACAAUCACCUUGUGCAAUUUAGUAACAAACCACCACAAAUCAAAGGUUACAAAGUAGGAUUGCAGACAGCUCAGUGGAAGACUGCUCACAGCCUAAUGGAGGACGGCAUAGUAAAACCUAGGAACCGGACCCGGACCACUCCAUGGGAGAAAGCACAGUUUAUUAGUCAGUUUUUAAAUUACAUGGCAAUCUCUCGGGUGCAGAGAGAACAGGAAAGGUGGAGAAAGCCUUGCUAGUUUAAAGGGGAACAGACAGCUGCAGCAGAGAAGUGUGCAAGCCAAAACAGCCUGGGGACUGGUGUGGAACUUGGAUGUUACAGGUGUGCGUUAAUGGGGCCCUGAGAGCCUGAGAAGUAGUGUGGGGACUAUGGUGAGUGUCGUGGGUCUAUAGUACGGAACUAAAUGCCCGGUUGUUGGAGGUAGUUGGCUGUAAAUGCAGAUAAUGGAUUUACUGGCUUUCUGACAAAAACCGAUAACAUGGAUUCUAUCCCAAGUACUGAGAGAAAUAGUAGAAAGAGGGCAGAAUUUGCUAUCUCAGGGUAAUACAGUGCUUAGCAGGGGACUGGGGAAAAUCAAGAGGGAUGUGAGAACACUGGGGACAGAGACAGCCACAUCUACUGACAUGAAAUUUCAACCUUGGGAUUUGAAACCAGGGUAGCAUGGCUCCUGAAACAUGCCCCAAAUCAUUUUUGUCACUAUACCACUAUGAAGAAAGUCAACUGUGUAUUUUUUUAAAACCAGAAGAGAGAUCAUGUGAUAGGCAGAAGACUGACACAAUGUCCCCAUGAUCUGCUGCCUGCAAACAGUCAUCUUAACACAGAACAAAACUCCUCUUAUUCCUUUUGUGGUGCUGUGUGCCUUCAGUCCAGUCUUGGAGAGGAAGAGGCAAGUGAGUGGACCACCGUGAGUUCUAGGACAGCUUAAUUUACCUAGAUAGAAUUCUAGGCCAGGCUCAGCUACUUAGUGAGCUCCCAUCUC
ensembl:lincRNA